AAUCUGUGUAAAAGUCCCUUUAAAUACUUGUUUGUAAAGGCAUAUAUAACAAAGUUAUAACGAGUCUGGAAACCACAUGCACGGAUUAUUUUUGGGAGUGUAUCCGCCAAAUGACUUGAAGCCAAACUUCAGCGAAUCAUGCAGACUGUAUUUAUGCAUUUACAAAUGAAUCGAAAGUAGGGAACAAUCGGGAAUCAUCGGGCAAUUCCGCCAUAACGACGGUGUGGUGUAGCACUCACUGUAGCCCACUGUCCGAAGUGUUCAGAUUGAGUAGGGAAGUGAGAAUUCGAGAUUGUGAUAGCGAGUAUUAAGUGGCUAAGGCGUUUAUAUAAAAACAAGUAUCGAUAUAGUUCAGGUUAAGUCGCUUUUAGUCCACAUAUACCGAGAGGUCAACGGGUGCAUGUGACAUGAUCUCUCUGAAAAAUGUCUGAAAACAUCACCCAGUGGCGCAUCAUUUCAUCAGUUUACGUCUUCGAGGGAGGAUAAAUAAUAAACACUGGUGACUUCUGAUACUGAACACUGCUGACCAUCCAUAACUGGCUUCAAAGAGGAGUGUGAACACAUAACACAAAAAUGUACCUGAGCACAGAGAAUAUGCGAGACAAUGACCGUUUGGUGAACAACUACUCCGUAAACAGUUUUAUAACAGAGAAUAACGAGCUGACCAUUACACGAACAUUCUCGGACCGGAAAUACUCGACUCUGCUGUUUAAGCCGCAAGACAAGAACCAGGUGGACAUUGUCAUCACACAGGGUGAGAUCAGGGAUAAGGAUAAAUGUCUGUUCCGGACAGAGCAUGUCACGUCUGGAGAUAUUCGCCGUGUAAAUUCGUGCAGAGCCAAGUGCCUUGUUGGGCUUGUGUUUUUAUUGCUCGCACUAAUGUUAGUGAUCGUGAUUGUUUGUAUUGUGAAAAGUGCCAACAGCCUGAAAGGUGAUAGCAGGCCUCCAACGUCUGAAGACAUGGAGUUUGGGCUAAACGGCACUUCAUUCAACUCGACUGGAUAUAAUGUAACAAUUAAAAUGAAUACCUUCUCAUCCAUCUGACAAAUCUCUUAUGUGAAAAAGCAAAAGAUCAAUUUUCGUUUAGUUCUCAUCACCGAUUGUUAAUAUUUGUCUCUAGUGUAUAAAUGUUCAUUAUGCUUGAGAUGUUCAUGCUACUUCACAAAAUAUAAAUUGCCGUUAAGUGUUCGGUGACAGUCAUAUACAAUGAUUUUACUUGAAAUGUAAGCCUAAGUGACAGAGAAAUGUAUGUGGUGUAAUAUCGAUUUUAUUGCACCAUGUUGUUAUUUCUUUAUUUUAAGAUAAUAAUAAUUAUUUUGUUGUUGUUGUAUUCAAUGUUUCUUGCUGAUUUUGUUACUUUUGAAUUUUGUUUUGACUUACUGUUAUGCAUUUUAAGCGUAGAAUUAAAUUGUUAUUAACAUGUGUUGAUACAUUUUUGUCAAGAUGCAUUGGAUAUUUAAUAUACAUAUUUAUGUUCAAA